CAGUGUCAUCAUUUUGAGAUCUAUCCUUACCGUUUUAUUUCAGUGGACUUACAGAUGCUUCUUGAUUUAUGAUGGCAUUGUCCCAAUAAACCUGUCGUAAGCUGAAAUAUCAUAAGUUAAAAAAAUGCACUUAAGACCCCUAACCUACUGAACACCAAAGCUUAGCCUGGCCUACGUUAAACAUGCUCAGAACACAUACAUUAGUCUACAGUUGGGCAAAAUUAUCAAGCAACAUGGUGCACUGGAGAGUAUUCAUUGUUUACCUUUGUGAUUGUGUGGCUGACUGGGAGCUGUGCUCAUAGCUACUGACCAUCAUCUUGAGAGAGCAUCAUACCACAUAUCACCAGCCCAGGUAAAGAGCAAAAUUCCAAAUUUGAAGUGUGGUUUUUACAGAAUGUAUAUCAGUUUUGAACCAUUAUAAAGUCAAAAAAUUAUGAAUCAAACCAUCAUAAGAUUGGCACUGUUCAUAUAUACCUAGAUAAAUACAUGGUGAUUUUUCUAACUUCUGAUAUUUACAGAGGCAAUUGCCACUGGGUGAAAGCUCAAUAUCACGUACUCUAUUUUGCAGAAUGAAGGAAAAAAUUCAUUGUCAAUUUGCAUUGCCAGAAUGGGAUACUGAAACCGAGACCUAAUUGCAUAAUGGUUAAGAGCUUGACUUCUGUAGUAAUAAAAUGUAACAUUUAUAAAGUAUUUUCUCUGUUCUAAGCACUUUCUAUGUACAGUACUAGCUGUCUUAGUUUGUUUGCUGCUGCUAUAAAAGAUAUGCCCACAGACUAGGUAAUUUAUGAAGAACAGAGAUUUGUUUAGCUCAUGGUUCUGGAGGCUGGGAAGUCAAAGAGCAUGGUACAGGCAUCUGGAGAGGCACAUCGAAAAGGUGGGUGGAUGGGUGAAAGGUGGAAGUGAGCACAGGAGACAGAGAGGGAAUGUAGGCUGAACUGAAUCCUUUUAUUAGGAACACACUCCUGUCAUGAUGGCAUUAAUCCCUUAAUGAGAGCAAAGACCUCAUGAUCUAAUCAUCUCUUAAAGGCCCCACCUCUAAAUACCAUUACAUUAGCAAUUCAAUUUCAACAUGAGUUUUGGAGGGGAUAUUUAAAGCAUAAUAUUAUCCAUCUAUUUUUUGUAACAAGCAGUGAGGCGGGAGUGAUGACUAUUGUUUCCAUCUUACAGAUGAGGACAUGGAGCAUAAAGAGAUCAAGUAACUUGCUCAAGAUCACGUAGCUACUAAGCAGAAGAGCUGGGAUGUCAGCAUGGCUGCCUGUCAGGGCCGUGCUCUUAACUGCUGUGGUACACUGGCUUUCCAUGGCUAGAAUAUGAGCUUCAUGAUGGGGAGGAGUGCUGUUCACUGUUCCAUUCCCAGGGUCUAACACAGAUGCUCAAUGAAUACUUAUUUUAUUUUAGAGAUGGAGUUUCACUCUUGUCGCCCAGGCUGGAGUGCAAUGGCACGACCUUGGCUCACUGCAACCUCCACCUCCCAGAUUCAAGCGAUUCUCCCACCUCAGCCUCCUGAGUAGCUGGGAUUACAUGCAUGUGCCACCACGCCUGGCUAAUUUUGUAUUUCUAGUAGAGAUGGGGUUUCACCAUGUUGGCCAGGCUGGUCUUGAACUCCUGACCCUAGGUGAUCCACCCGCCUUGGCCUCCCAAAGUGUUGGGACCACAGGCACAAGCGACUGUGCCUGGCCAAUAAAUACUUAUUGAGUAGAGGAAUCAGGUUUGAAUACUGGUCUGUCUCUUAAGAGAUGUAAGAGCUUAGGGACUUUUAAAAACUACUCUGAGUAACUUGCUCAAUCCAGGGGCAAGCUCUGUCAUCUUUCCCUUCAAAAGAUAUUUUGAAUCCACUUCUCACCAUGCCCACCACUGUUGUCUUGGGCCAAGCUACCAUCAUUCCUCACCAGGACUUUUGCUGUGACCUCUUACAAGUAGUUUUUCUAUUUCGACACUUGCUGUAGCUAUCUUUAUCCAGCAGUCAGGUGAUCUCGUAGAACAUAACACAGACCAGAUCUCUCCUGUACUCAAAUCUUCCGAUAAUUUCUUAUCACACUUGGAAUAACACACAGGCUUGCAGGGUCUUACAUGGCCCCAGCUCUAUCUUCCCAAUCCCCCCGACUCCUUUGCUCAUGUUCUUCAGUGACACAGGGCUUUUCCUUGAACACUGUCUACCUUGGUCUCAGAGCCUUUGCACACUGUAUACAUUGACGUAUGUUGCUGUGAGUGUGAAGGCAGUGGCAAAGCCCACACUAGGCUGUUAACACAAGUAACUGGGUUGAAGUGGAGAGGAGUAGGGAGGAUUAUCAAUGUUUUCUCCACAGGCCAAUGUGUUUUACAAAUCAUGCCUUAAUUUUGUAGUUUUAAAAAGGAAUUUAAUAAAGAAAGGGGAUAAGCCCUUUUAAUAGCUUUAUCCUCCCUUAACUAUGAGCACACAUCUCUUCCUCCUUUGUAGGCAAGCUCCUGGCUUUCUGUCUUAUCUCUCAGUCACCCCAAAGCCCAUGGCAGCCUGGUUUCUAAGCCCCUCUGCUGCCCUUGCAGCCUGACCACCAACCUCUUUGUUGAUAAGACCAACCACCCUUUUCCGGUUAGCUUUCCAGACUUCUCAGCUGAAUUAAAUACUGUUGACCGCUCUAUUCUUCUUUUUAUUUUUUAUUUUUUAAAUUUUAAAUGUGGCAAAAUACACAUAACAAAAUUUACCAUUCUACCAAUUUUUUAAGUAUAUAGUACAGUAGUGUUAAGUACAUUCACAUUGUUGUACAACCAUCUCCACCAUCCAUCUCUAGAACUCUUUUCAUCUUGCAAAACGGAAACUCUGUCCCUAAUAAACAACGACUUCCCAUUCUCCCUCCUCCCAGCCCCUGGAAACCACCAUUCUUUUUUCUGUCUCUGAUAUAGCUUGAAUAUUUAUUCCUGCCCAAAUCUCACGUUGAAUUGUAAUCCCCAAAUGCUGCAGGUGGGGCCUGGUAGGAGGUGAUAGGAUCAUGGGGGUGGAUCUUUUAUGAAUGGCGUGGGUCAUCCUUUUGGUGAUGAGUGGGCUCUUGCUCUGAGUUCACAUGAGAUCUGAUUGUUUAAAAGUGUGUGGCUCCUCCCCCGCCACUCUUUCUCUCACUUGCUCCAGCCUUCGCCAUGUGCCAUGCCUGCUCCCCACUUGCCUUCUGUCACGAUCGGAAGCUUCCUGAGGCCUCCCUAGAAGCCGAGCAGAUGCAGCCCCACGCUUCGUGUCCGGCCUGCAGAACUCAAUGAUAUGAGGUUUGUACUAUUAUUAUCUUCAUUUUACACAGAAGGAAACCGAAGCACAGCAUGACUAGUGAACUCAGCCCAAUUCACACAGAAGGCGAGAGCUGAGAUUGAAACUCAGGCAGUCUGUGUGCAGGGCCUCUGUUCUUCACCAGCAAGUUCUUCUUUCACUUGGAGUUCAUAUCUACAGCCCAGUGUUCUUUCUCACCUGCAGGAGACCGUAUCGGCCACACUCUAAUAGAUGCCAGGGAGCUCCCCGCAGGGCUGUUGUCAACAAAAGGUUCUAACCUGUGCUUACUAAAUAAGACUCCUAAAUGAUAUUUUUUGUGAAGUUAUUGUAUGUUAUGGGUUGAAUUGUGUCUUCUGCAAAAGAUAUAUUGAAUUCCUAACCCACAGCUCCUCAGAAUCUGGUCUUAUUUGGAAAUAGACUAAUUGCAGAUGUAAUUAGCUAGAGACUAUACUAGUGUAUAGGGUAGGCCCCUAAUCUGAUAUGACUGUUGUCCUUAUAGAAACACAGCCAUGUGAAGAUGAAGGCAGAGACUGGAAAAAGUGUGAAGGCAGAGUUUAUCCUGAUUGGAUUAGGAAUAAAUAGAGUCCUAUAAACCAAGGAAUGUCAAGGAUUGCUGGCCAUCCCUGGAAGCUAGGACGCUGGGACAGGUUCUCCCUCAGAGCCUCUGGAAGGAACUAACCCUGUAAAACACCUUGAUUUUGGAACUUUGGCCUUCAAAACUGAGGGAAUAAAUUUUUGGUAUUUUAAGCCACCCAGUUUGUGGUACAAGCAUACCUCAAAGACUUGCAAGUUCAGUGCCAUACCACCACAUUAAAGCAAAUAUUGCAAUAAAGUGAGUCAUACAAUUUUUUUGGUUUCCCAGUGCAUAUAACAGUUAUGUUUAUACUACGGUACAGUCUAUUAAAUGUGCAAUAGCAUUAUGUCUAAAAACAGUAUAUAUGUUAAUUAAGAGAUAUUUUAUUGCUAAAAAUGCUGAUCAUCAGAGCCUUCAGUGAGUCAUAACCUUUUUGCUAGUGGAGAGUCUUGCCUCAGUGUUCAUGGCUACUGACUGACGAGGGUGGUAGUGGCUGAAGACUGGGGUGGAUGUGGCAAUUUUUAAAAAUAAUGCAACAAUAAAGUUUGCUGCAUUGAAUGACUCUUCCUGUGAUAUUUCUCUGUGAUAUGCUGUAUUAGUUUAUC
rnacentral:lncRNA from 1 species